GAGUUUGAUCCUGGCUCAGGAUGAACGCUGGCGGCGUGCCUAACACAUGCAAGUCGAGCGAAGCACUUUAAUUUGAUUCUUCGGAUGAGGAUUUUUGUGGCUGAGCGGCGGACGGGUGAGUAACGCGUGGGCAACCUGCCUUACACAGGGGGAUAACAGUUAGAAAUGACUGCUAAUACCGCAUAAGACCACAGUACUGCAUGGUGCAGUGGUAAAAACUCCGGUGGUGUAAGAUGGGCCCGCGUCUGAUUAGGUAGUUGGCGGGGUAACGGCCCACCAAGCCGACGAUCAGUAGCCGACCUGAGAGGGUGACCGGCCACAUUGGGACUGAGACACGGCCCAGACUCCUACGGGAGGCAGCAGUGGGGAAUAUUGCACAAUGGGGGAAACCCUGAUGCAGCGACGCCGCGUGAGCGAUGAAGUAUUUCGGUAUGUAAAGCUCUAUCAGCAGGGAAGAAAAUGACGGUACCUGACUAAGAAGCCCCGGCUAAC
rnacentral:rRNA from 1 species